rnacentral:rRNA from 1 species
GAUGAACGCUGGCGGCGUGCCUAAUACAUGCAAGUCGAGCGAACAGAUAAGGAGCUUGCUCCUUUGACGUUAGCGGCGGACGGGUGAGUAACACGUGGAUAACCUACCUAUAAGACUGGGAUAACUUCGGGAAACCGGAGCUAAUACCGGAUAACAUAUUGAACCGCAUGGUUCAAUAGUGAAAGGCGGCUUUGCUGUCACUUAUAGAUGGAUCCGCGCCGUAUUAGCUAGUUGGUAAGGUAACGGCUUACCAAGGCAACGAUACGUAGCCGACCUGAGAGGGUGAUCGGCCACACUGGAACUGAGACACGGUCCAGACUCCUACGGGAGGCAGCAGUAGGGAAUCUUCCGCAAUGGGCGAAAGCCUGACGGAGCAGCGCCGCGUGAGUGAUGAAGGUCUUCGGAUCGUAAAACUCUGUUAUCAGGGAAGAACAAAUGUGUAAGUAACUGUGCACAUCUUGACGGUACCUGAUCAGAAAGCCACGGCUAACUACGUG